rnacentral:lncRNA from 1 species
GAAGAGGUUAUGACCACGUGUGGGAAGGGGGAGGGGAGAAGGGACCGACUCACUCUCGUCAGGGAAAGACCUCACUCAUUCUUGAUGGGGAAAGGGAAGAAACACCGGGGAUGAGCCUCAAGGAGGACUCUCGACUGGUAUGUCGACUGGACUGAAGCAUUUGACCGCAACUUCUUAUUGCAGCAACACAGUGGCUACAUGAGGUUCGAAUUUAAUUCUCUUAACACUAUGUAUCGAUAUACUUGAUUUCAAUUUGAAUCACGUUUGGAUCAAAUUCUUGUUUCGGGUUGUCGGUGUCUUCGUUGGGGUAACUGUGUUCGGCGGAAAUUGUGGUGCUUGUUUCAAUAAGUACGGUGUUUGAAUUUAUAUCUCUUUCCCAUUCAAAUUUAGGCUCUUUUCUGCUAUAUAUGAACUGGGAUGUGACAAAAUCAUCAAAUCUUGCUACUUUAAAUUUAGCGAAAAAUAUGACUUCAUUGCUGGACAUGAGACUAGAAAUAUGAGCCACCUUUUUUUCGGUUAUGUUGGUACAUAUGCUUGGUCAACAUACUUUGACCGUCUCUAGGCUAGUCAUAACCCUCAUAUUCGCUCACACAUAGACUACAAAUGUGAAGACAGCAACAAUCGUUGUCGAGUAAUGUAAACCACUUCACGAUUGAAGUCUUCACGCGCCCACACGUGCGUCAUCAAAACCGCUCUCUGAAGCGGGGCCAAGAGCACAUGUCCCACAUCGGAGAGAUGCAAAAGGGCUGAGACACCUCCAACCUACAAAAGUAACUGUUCAUCUCUUCAUUUACUAAGCAAUUUAUUAUUUACUUGUUGUCACUUUGCCGAUUUACUUGUUGACUUAGGCAUCGGAGCGUUAAAGACCGCUAGAAGCGGUCUCUUCUCCUAACCUAGCAUGUUACUUCUGUUGGUAGAUUCAGGAACGAAGACUACGACGACCGUUUAUAAACUUGUAUUGUGACGUAUACAGUGAGUCAAGUCAACCGCUCAUAUACUGCAUAAACAUUGGCGCCGUUUGUGAGAACCCUUGAGCAAAAGGUUCACACGCAUAACCAAUAUGACAAUGUACGGUAAUUCUUUGGAUGAGGCAAACCGCCUGCAGAUUGCUGCAGAAAUGGCAAGAACUUUAAAUUUUUCAACACCUCAAAUUGAGGGCGGAAUAGGAGCACCGCCACUAAAUAAUGAGGUAGUGAAUGGACUAGAAACAAGGUACCCGCUAUUGGAGAAGAUGGUGCUAGCGUUAAUAACCGCUACAAGAAGGUUGUGUCAGUACUUCCAAGCCCAUUCGAUUGUUGUUCUUACCAAUCAACCGCUUAAAUAGGUGUUGCAGAGUCCAGAGAGUUUAGGCCAAGGACAACAAUGAAAGGUCAAGUGAUGGCUGUCUUUAUUGCAGAACUAACUGAGCGGGAGGACUUGUCAAUGGAAGUAAAAGAAGUGGUUGCUAGGACUUAUCGUUCUGUUGUCACACCAAAGGAGACCGCCUAGAGUUCUCAGUGGAAUUUGUUUGUCGACGGAUCUUCAUGUGCAAAGGCUAGUGGAGCGGGAAACAUUUUGACUGGACCUGGAGGACUCGAGCUGGAGUAUGCUCUUAAGUUCUAUUUCAAGGCUUCUAAUAAUGUAGCGGAGUAUGAAGCGCUUAUUGCAGAACUCCUGAUGGCCAUAGAUUCAGGGGCAACGAAUGUUAACAUUUUCAGUGACUCUCAGUUAGUAGUCAGUCAAGUUAGAGGGGAGUUCCAAGCAAAGGAAUCCCAGUUGACUGCAAACUUGGGGUAUGUGAAGACGUUGUUGGGGCGGUUCAAAUUCUUCAAUAUUACCUAGAUCCCAAGAGCAAACAAUGCUAAAUCUCACAACCUCGCAAGAAUAGCAACGGCUCAGCCCCACCAGCAUAUGGAAGAUGUAAAGGUGGAAAUCCUAGAUAAAUCAUCCAUCACAAAGACACUGGCUGAAUUUUUUCAUAUCGAGUCAAGCUUAUCAUGGAUGGACGAGAUUCUGGCAUAUAAAAAGGAUGAAACACUUCCAACGGCAAAGGUAGCCGCCCAAACCCUGAUAAGAAGAGCAACAAGGUAUACAAUCAUGGACGGCAAGCUGUACCGCCAAAGCUUUAAGUUUCCACACUGGAAAUGUAUAAUCUUAGAGGAGGGCAGAGAUGUCCUCAAUAGAAUCCACAGCAGAGAUAGUGAUAACCAUUCAAGUUACCAUUCCUUGGCAAACAAGGCAAUGCGCUAUGGGUACUUCUGGCCAACUAUGACAACAUAUGCAGAGGAUGUAGCAAAGACAUGCAUCAAAUGUCGCAAGUUUGCAAUAAUGCCUAGAGCACCAACAGAGCCGCUUUCAAUUAUCGUGGGACCAUGGAUAGGUUCCAUGUGGGGGCUAGACUUGAUGGGGUCGUUUCUAGUGGUUAAGAGCCAGUUCAGGUAUAUCAUUGUGGGAAUUGAUUACACCACCAAAUGGAUUGAAGCUGUUCCGCUCGUUAAAAUCAACACACAUCGUGUGUAAAAGUUCAUCUAGAAAAACAUUUGCUGUCGGUUUGGAGUUCCAAACACAAUUAUUGCUGACAACGGGGCACAGUUCAACAACCAAGAGUUGAUCAGUUGGGCAGUUGAGAAGGAAUUCUAGAUCAAGUUUUUUUCAAUCGCUCAUCCCUAGACAAACGACCAAGUAAAAGCCGCUAAUAAGAAAAUCAAAGCGUUGCUAAAGAAGAAGUUGGAUGAAGCAAAAGGGUUAUGGGCGAAAAAGCUCCCAGAAGUUCUUUGGGCAAUCCGCACAACCCCAAUAAAGGCAACAGGAGAAACGCCAUUUUGUUUAACUUAUAGAACAUAGGCGGUUCUACCAGUGGAACUCAUGCAUCCAAUAGCUAGGGUUGAAGUGUUUAACCUCGCUACCAAUGAUGAAGGAUUGCUCUUAGACAAAGAUCUAUUGAAGGAAAAGCAUAUCAAGGCACACUUGACGAAUUUGCAAAAUAAGCAAAAAGAAGCACGUUUCUACAACAAACGGGUCAGAGGAAGAAGUUUUCUAGUUGGUGAUUAGGUCAUGAAGGGCUGAACCCAACUUAGGAAGGACCAUACCAAAUUGUAGAAGCGGUUAGUCCAGGAACUUAUUACAUCAAAGACAAGAGUGGGAAAGUAUCCGCUCACCCAUGGAACACUCAACAUCUCAUGUGCUACUAUGCGGAUAAGUAAGCAACCGCUUCAACAUCACUUCCAAGUCUGCUGUUUCCUAAGUUUGUUUUUGUUCUAGACUUCUCAAGUGUGAGCCGCUAUAACAGAGCAACCAUAUUUUUGUAAAAAGGUUUACAUUACACCAAGUAAUGAAUGAAAUGGUAUUAUUCAAAUUAUUGUUCUUUAGUUCCAAAACAGUAUUUGACCGUUCAGGCUCAAAUUUCAAGAACAAAAAUAAUACCCUUAGUGUCAUUCUGCAAACAAAAAUAUGAACUUUAUGAAGCGGAAAACGAAAAACAAAUUUAAAGGCAAAAACUUAGAUGGAGAAGUUAGUUGAUUACAAAAACGCUGCCCGCAUGCAAGCGGAUGUCUUAACCAGUUAAUUACAAAAAUGAAACCCAUAUGGGCGGAUCAUCUAGACAUCAAAAUUUAUAACUUCUCCGCAAGAUCCAACCGCUGAAAGCUUCCCGCUCCCGACAUCUAGGCUACUUUGAGACAGUGUCGCUGCCUUCCUCUGUCUCCGCCGCUUCUGUCUCGGCGACUCUUGAUUUUCUCAUGUGGGGUGGGAGAGGGAGUUUCAGGGUUUGAGUCAAACCUUUGACUAUCACAAGAAAGACCAGGAGAGAAAGAAAUGUAACUACCUUCAUUAGCGAAUAGUGGUUGUUCAACUUCUUGAGCGGCACUAGGGGACUUUUGUUGUCCAGUCUGUUCAAGAGGAACAACGGUUUGAUUGCAGGCCUCGGUUUGCUGAGUUUGAUUACAGGCCUCGGUUUGCUGAGUCGCUUCAUCGGCUUCCCAAGCAGCAUACUUGGCAAAAUCAAUGCAACCAAUGACAAUCAACCCGUUUGUAAUACCCUGGAAAUUUGAUAUUAGUUUAUAAUUUUAUUUAGGAAUUUUCGAGUUAGAAGUUAGUGUGUUUUAAAGUUCAAAGGAAGAGCGGAAGGGUUCAGAUGCAUAAUUUACCUGAAACGGUUUUAUGGUUCUGAAGGGUCAAGAGUUGACUUUCUAAUCCGUUGGGUUUCUCGAGAAACUUCCUUCACGAAAGUUGUAGAGCAUGACGAUACGAGUUCGUAGACACGUGGCACGCGUAAAACGGAUUUCGUAUGAGGAAGUUAUGGUCAGCGAAAGUUUACGGCUUUACGGGAAUUUUGAGUUAAAUAGGAAAGUUUUCUCUUGAGUCCUCACAUUUUUCAGAAACCCAAAUCCUCCCCCUCUCCUUCUCUCUUCCUGACCCCGAGAGAGUGCAAAAUCUCCAGCCGACUCGACCCUGACCCGGUUAAUCCGACCCGGCUUUUCCGGCCGACUCCGGCGGACUCAGACGGCGGCACCGGUUGGGUUUUCUUCCUCUCCUCGACGUGAUCUUCCCUGUGUAGGUGGGUGAGGACGACUCAAGAGGGAUAGAGAGAAUCGAGCGCUGCAGCGGAGGGUGGCGGACCCGACUUCGACCCAGGUGCGUUCCGGCCGUGUACGGCGGCAACUGGAGGUGAGGCUGCUCGGUUCUUGAAGCUUUCUUCUGUCCAAGCAUGUUUUAGGUUGCCAUUCGCCUCGUUUUGAGGUCUAGAAGUCGGAUUGAGCCGCCUUGGCAGCCGGUCUUCUUUUGGACGAUUCCGGCCGAAUGGGUUCAAGUCUCAAGUAUAAAAAGUGUUCCUUUUGCUAUGCUCUUUAAGGUUGCUGUUGGAAGUUUGUUGAGUUGUUGAAGUUUCGGGGUGGCGCGUGGGGCCCACUCGCUGCCGUCUGUGGUGGCGCGUGGCGUUGCCUCCGGCAGAGGUUGGGUGGUUAGGAGUAGUUGUUAGGUUGUGCUUGUCGAUACGAGUACAUGAACAUGUAGAUUGUAGGUUUCAAAGUUGUUUAAGUAUGUUGAGGUUUUUCUGGAACUCGUUUUCGUUCGGUGUUGGUUUAUGGAGUCUGAACAUAGAGGUAAUCAUUUAUUGGUUACCAUAUGCUGUUCAUGGGAUUUCGGUGACCUUGGGAGGUCUCAUAAGAGGUUUGCCUCAUUAUGGUAAAACUUUGGGUUAAGUUUUAGCUAGUUAGUGUAAAGGGUAAUCACUUGGUUGUUGGUCACUAAGUUGAUUUGUGCUAUCUUGGUGAUUGACAAGUUGGUGUUGUGCUUGUUCUUGUGCUUGUGAAGACGCAGCGGGAGUUCAAGUGAGUAAAAUCUCACCAAGGUCUACUUUGUGGCCUAUUUAUUUUGAUGUUGGUUUUGAUGAUGUUAAUUAUUAUGUUAAUUGGUAUGAUGAUGAUUUUGAUGAUGAUAACUGUGAUGUUUAUUAUGAUGAUGGUUGUGAUGUUGGUUUUGAUGGUGAUAAUUAUUAUGAUGAUGAUGAUGAUGAUAAUUAUUGCUAAUUGUGAAGUUGUCAUUGAAAGAAAAUGAUUUUGUUUUUAAAUAUAAAUGAGCUUGAUCGUCAACGGCUCAUGGUAAGUGAAAACAAGUUUUCUGUUAAUAAUAUAAUCUUUCAAAAGGACUUCCGAUCAUGAGUAAUAAUUAGAGUUGGUAGAAUUAUUCUUGUUUUAAAUAUUUAUAUCCACGUGUUUAUGUGUGAAAGACACGUUAUGAUAAUGUGUUAGUGUGAUGUUGAAUUGAUGUUUAAAUAGUCAAACCGGGUUCCAAGCCUUUAAUCGGGUACGGUUAUGAUGAUAUUAUUAUUUUGUGAUUGAUAAGUGUUAUGAUGGGAGAGUAAUAGAAUGUGUGCCUUCGUGGUGAUUGUUGUGCAUUCGUUGUGGUUGUGCCUUAGUGGUGAUUGUGUGCAUUAGAUUAGGAGCUUUCGUGGUGGACCGGGAACCAAGCCUUGGCCGGGUGAUUGGUUACGGUCAAUAUAGAGCUCUAGUCUGUCAGUCGGUACUUCAUGGGGGAUGACUAAGUGUUGACGAAUCCAUGAGUAUGCAUUUGUUUGGUUACUUAUAGGGGACGACUAAGUGUUGGCGAACUCAUAAGUAAGAGUAGAGAAAUGAUUGUGUGAUGUUCUUAUGUGUUGUUUAAAUUUCUUGCUUUGAGUAUCUCCUGAACUAUGCAUAUCCGCGGGAGAUUCUUGAAAUCUUAAUUAUGUGAUUUUUAGUAGAAUUCAUGAAUUAUGCUUUUAAAGGAUUCAUUUAUGAUGUGAUUAUUUUUGAAUUGUUGUGUUUUCUUAAAUUCUUCUUUGAUUUUCUCUUGCUUGUAAAUGUUUUCCUGAAAUUAUUUUUAUUGCAUGAACUCGUGAUUUUAUCUUAUGUGUUGUUGGGUUGAGUCUGUUGUUGUAGAUUUACUCAUACGAGCUUUUAAAGCUUACCGGGUUUGUUGUUUUACAACCCGGUGCACCAAUUCAUGGUGUAGAGGUUGUUUUGCAGGUCAGGUUUAGCAGAGUUGAGGCUGCAGCAGUUAGGCAUCAUUCUUUUUGUUACUUUCUAGAUUGCAGUGAUUUUUAAGGGAGGUUAUACUUGUUUAAAUUAAUUUCCAC